rnacentral:rRNA from 1 species
UACGAAGGGGGCUAGCGUUGUUCGGAGUUACUGGGCGUAAAGCGAGUGUAGGCGGUUUCCUAAGUCAGGUGUGAAAGCCCCGGGCUCAACCCGGGAAGUGCACUUGAAACUGGGUCGCUAGAGUAUCGGAGAGGUUGGUGGAAUUCUCGGUGUAGAGGUGAAAUUCGCAGAUAUCGGGAAGAACACCCGUGGCGAAGGCGGCUCUCUGGGACGGUGACUGACGCUGAGACGCGAAAGCGUGGGGAGCGAACAGG